GUUGUUUUUCCGCGUUCUAGUUCACUGACUUCCUUUUUUCUUUCUUUUUUUUUUUUUUGAGACAGUCUCACUCUGUCGCCCAGGCUGGAGUGCAAUGGUGUAUUCUCGGCUCACGGUAACCUCUGCCUCCCAGGCUCAAGCAAUUCUCGCGCCUUAGUCUUCCGAAUAGCUUGGAUUUUGUGUGUGUGUGUGGGGGGGGGGGGCGGGGGGGACACGGUCUCACUCUGUUGCCAAGAUUGGAGUGUAGUGGUGCAAUCCUAGCUCACUGCAGUCUCCACCUCCCAUGCUCAAGGGAUCCACUUUCUAAGCCUGUCAAGUACCUGGGACUAGAGGUGUGCAUCAACACACCUAUUUUUUUUUUUUUUUUUGAGAUGGAGUCUCGCUCUAUCACCCAGGCUGGAGUGCAGUGGCACGAUCUUGGCUCACUGGAACCUCUGCCCUCCAGGUUCAAGCAAUUCUCCUGCCUCAGCCUCCCAAGUAGCUGGGGUGCCCGCCACCACACCCAGCUAGAUUUUUUUUUUUUUUUUUUGUAUUUUUAGUAGAGACGGGGUUUCACUGUAUUGGCCAGGCUGGUCUCAAACUCUUGACCUCGUGAUCUGCCCGCCUUGGCCUCCCAAAGUGCUGAGAUUACUGGCAUGAGCCACCGCGCCCGGCCUUUUAAUUCAUAUUUUUUUGUAGCGAUGGAGCUUCACCGUGUUGCUCAGGCUAAUUUCAAACUCUUGGGCUCAUGCAAUCCUCCGGGGUCGGCCUCAGUCUCCUCCCAAAGCAUUGGGAUCGCAGGGGUGAGCCACUGUUCUCGGCCUCACCUCUUCUAACGUUAAGAGUUUGCAGUUAUAACUUUCUCUAAGCACUGUAUUAGCUGCAUCCUAUACAUUUUCAUGUGCAUAUUUCCAUUUUUAUUCAGCUCAAAAUACGUACUAAUUUUUUGUGAUUUCUUAUUUAUUUUUAAUCUUAUGAGACGGAGGCUCGCUCUGUUGCCCAGGCUGGAGUGCAACGAGGCGAUCUCGGCUCACUGCAACCUCUGCCUCCCGGGUUCAAGCGAUUCUCCUGCCUCAGCCUCCCGAGUAGCUGGGACUACAGGCAACCGCCACCACACCCAGCUAUUUUUUGUAUUUUUAGUAGAGACGGAGUUUCACUAUAUUGGCCAGGCUGGUCUUGAACCCCUGACCUCAAGUGAUCCCCCGCCCCCCCUCGACCUCCCAAAGGGCCGGGAUUAUAGACAUUAGACGUCGUUGCCGGGGGAGCCCUCCAAACACCCAGAAAUGCCACAGCCAGGACCGUGGGACGCAGCAGAAUCGCCCAAGGGGCAGGGGGCAGCCUGGCCAGAAGAAAAUGAGGGAGGGGCCGCGCGUGAGGUUCGGCAGGGGAGAACACAGGCCUCCGGCGGCCACGGACGCCGCUUUGCCAUUUUGAGCGUUUCUGGGGAGGACAACGCGCGCAGGAAGCGCAGUCAUCUCAAGCUGACCUCCAAGGCUACCAGGUUUGAGGGCUGGAGCCGAGUCUGAAAGCCCCGACCCGCCUAUGGCGCGGGGACUGUGGGUCCAGCCGGCCGCUUGGCCCCCUCGCUCGGCGCCGGUCCAGGCGCAGCGCUCGGGCCCCGGCGACGGUGAGAUGCGGCGCGGCCAGCUUAGCUCGGGGUAGGGGCCACCCCAGCCUCGCCCCAGCCGGCCGGGUCCGCGACCUCGGGAGGGUCCGGUCCUUCCCUCGGCCCCCGCGACGCCGCGCCCGGGUGAGGCCCUGGGCUUCUUGCCGGUGACCACGCGGCCAGGGUGGCCCCCAGCCCAGGACGGCUACCAAGGGCGGCCCAGCCCCAUCCCCGCGCCGCGGGUCCCGGAACCGAAGAGCUGGGAGCGGGCGCUCCCUGACAACAUGGCGGCGGCGCCCGGGCGCCUCCCCGGGUCCCGGGUGUCUGCGUCUCCCCGCGAGGCCGUGGGCAAAGCCGGUGCCGUCCGACGACAGGAGGCGAAAGGAACCCAGGACCAGACCCGCGGGGCGAACAGUGCUGGAGGACCAUGCACCGACCACGCCCGAAGCAGAACCAAGGCCCGCCCUGUUGCCGUGGCGACUGCGCGCGGGGUAGACGCAGGCGCCGCAAGCCGUGAGCUCUCAGUGCAGGCGCAUAGGCUGCGGGGUUGAGGCGCAUUGCGUGCGCGUGCGCGCUGCUCACACGCGGACGGUUCUGUGCGCCGCAAUGGCUGCCCGCGAGUAUCGGAGAGGCGGAGCUCUCAGUCUUUUACAGGACCGGGUCUCCUGAUGCCGCCGGUGGUUCCUCGAGGCCCCCUUCCACGCAUCCGCCGCCGCUGCUUCAUCAGGACUUCAUUUCGGUGACGCAGAGCUUUGGCGAGAGCUACGGCAACAGCAAGAACUGCCGGCGGCUCUUGUGCUGCAGGGUGAGGACCGCGCCGGGCGGACCGAGGCCCGGGGUCGCUGCGCCCGCCGCCCUCCCAGCCUGCGGCUCCGAGCGGGGCCUGGGCGGGCAGACUCGACUCCCCCCGACGCCGCCCUCUCCACCCUUACCCCGCAAAAAGGGGCAAAUCUGCUUUCCGGGCCGGGGCAGCCGUGGUCGGCACGCCUGCAGCGGUCUCAGCGACCCAAAUUCUGCGGGGCGGUGGUGGUGGGAGGAAGGGUUGGAGCCCCAGCAGGUUGUCUGGGCUUCGUUUGCUUUUCGGCAAGGUCCUGGCCCAGGCCCCAGUCCCUCUUGGAGCGGAAGCCUCUGGACCUGUUGCUCCUAAGAAAGCAAGCGGCCCCUGACGCGUUGCUGUGGCCUGGUUUGACCCUCGUAGCCAGCCCAUGUUCUGUGAGGCAUGAAGCGCCACGCAGACACCACGACAAAGUGAGAUGAACUAAGACCUCUUCUUGAUUCUAAGCAGGGAACGCACAGCUCACCCUGUCACAUGCAGCGAUCAUAAGCUGAGAAUUACCCUCUUCCUUCCCACAGCGUCUAAUCUUUUUUUAUGUUUUUGUGGCAAGGUCUCGCUUAGUCGCCCAGGCUGGAGCGCAGUGGCGAUCAUGGCCCACUGCGGCCUCGACCUCCUGGGCUCCAGCGUGCGUCUAAUCUAGAACCAAAUCCUCCUUCCUUAGAUCAUCCCCCAAAUCACCCAACUACAGGUGAAAUCCUGUAAUAGUUUCCUCCGAACACCCUGUUGCUGAGACACCUCAACGUCUCAACCUGGUGUGUUUGUACGUAGAGUAAAAGACCCAACUUGUUUAACUACAGGCGUGUUUGCAGUGGUCUUUGGCUUAAGGGCGUUAUAGACUCUCAGUCGGAGAGUCACUGAGAUUCAGUUGAGACUCUCAACUCAGAGCAUGCCUUUCUGAGUCCCUUUUGUGUCUGUCUCUGGGAGCACAACCUAUUCUUGGCUGGGAAGAAACAGGCAUAUUCUUUGUUUCAUUCUCCUUGAACGCCUACCGUGGCCAGUUGCCGUUUUAGUUCUGACUGCAGAGAUGAAUAAAACAGAUUUGUAGGAGAGGCUGGUGAGAAGCCAGCCACAGACAGGCAGAGGCAGGUGGCACAUGUGUACGUCCUGUGUGGAAAAGAGCAGGGCCCUGGGGAAGAACCGUGGCUGGUUCUGAGGGCUCAGCGGAGGCUGCGGCACUGAAGGCAAGAUCUGAGGGCUGAGAAGCUGCUGGCACCGGGCAGGGUGGGGAGGGGGCUGACUUGAGCCUGAGCGAAACUGCCUGAGGCAAGGAGGACCUUGGCAUAUUUGAGACGGUGAAAUUCCCAGGGCUGGGAGACGGAGUGGGGGUUGUCUCAGUCCAUCCGUGGUCCUACAGGUCCUGGAGGUAAGGAAGCAGACCACCACUUUUCCUGCUGGCCUCCUCUCCCCACCUUGCCUAGUUUAUAAGGCAGGAGGAAAGGGAGAAAGCAAACAGUUGGAAAGAAACAGAAGUAAGAUAAAUAGCCAGACGACCUUGGCGCCACCACCCAGCCCUGGUGGUUAAUAAUUAUAAUAAUAAUAUCAGCUCCUGACCUGAACUACUUGUGUUAUCUGUAAAUUCCAGACGUUGUAUGCAGAAGCAUUGUAAAACUUUCUGUUCUGUGAGCUGAUGCAUAGCCCCUAGUCACAUUUCCCGCGCUUACUCAAUCUACCAGGACCCUUCCAUGUGGACCCCUUAGAGUUGUAAGCCCUUAAAAGGGCCGGGAAUUUCUUUUUCAGGGAGCUCGGUACUUAAAGACGCAAGUCUGCCGAAGUUCCCGCGGAAUGAAG
rnacentral:lncRNA from 1 species